rnacentral:rRNA from 1 species
CUACGGGCCGCAGCAGUGGGGAAUAUUGCACAAUGGGCGCAAGCCUGAUGCAGCCAUGCCGCGUGUAUGAAGAAGGCCUUCGGGUUGUAAAGUACUUUCAGCGGGGAGGAAGGGAGUAAAGUUAAUACCUUUGCUCAUUGACGUUACCCGCAGAAGAAGCACCGGCUAACUCCGUGCCAGCAGCCGCGGUAAUACGGAGGGUGCAAGCGUUAAUCGGAAUUACUGGGCGUAAAGCGCACGCAGGCGGUUUGUUAAGCCAGAUGUGAAAUCCCCGGGCUCAACCUGGGAACUGCAUCUGAUACUGGCAAGCUUGAGUCUCAUAGAGGGGGGUAGAAUUCCAGGUGUAGCGGUGAAAUGCGUAGAGAUCUGGAGGAAUACCGGUGGCGAAGGCGGCCCCCUGGACGAAGACUGACGCUCAGGUGCGAAAGCGUGGGGAGCAAACAGGAUUAGAUACCCUAGUAGUC